AAGUGGGGACGACCUCACCGCUCCAUACUCAAUCAGGGACGGCCCUG
rnacentral:ncRNA from 1 species